CAGAGUUGCAAAACUCCCAAACCAUUGUGAACGUUACCAUUAUCGUUGCUUCGGCGGGCGGCGCCCAGCGCUCCCAGGCCCCCUCGCGGGGCGCCCGCCGGAGGUUACCUAACUCUUGACAACUGUAUGGCCUCUCUGAGUCUCUAUACUUAAUAAGUUA
rnacentral:misc_RNA from 2 species